GAGAGAGAGAGAGAGAGGAAAGGAAGGAGAGAGUGUGUGUGUGUGUGUCUUAGUGUGUGUUUUUGUGCUUAAAACCGGCCACGGGAGCGCGCCUGUGAGCGGCAUUUUAAAUAGAAGAGAGAGAGAGAGAGAGAGAGAAGAAGGAGCAGAAGGAGAGGGGGUUAUUAUUCAAGAGUGCUGCAGUCAGACGCGCUGCACGGAGGGGAGAAACGGAGAAGGAGGUGGGCAAUCAGUCAAUCAAAAAUCGUUUGCGUUCAGUCUUUGUGUGUGCCUUUUUUUGUUUGUUGUGUUGUUUUUUGUUUUGUUUUGUUUUUACAGGAGAGACGAGAUCGGAGCGGAGCGAGCAGAUGGAUGGAGCGCAGGAGAGGAAGAGGAGAGGAGGUGGAGGUGAGCGCUUUAAGGUGGUGGAGCCAAGUGACGCACAGAUCGAGCAGGGCUGCAGAAAGGGAAGACGGGAAGUAUGGAUUUCAGCCGCCCAGCCCUGCAGCAUGGCUGGAUUUGAUUAACUUUAGUGGUGGUGAUGAUGAUGAUGAUGAUGAUGAUGAUGAUGAUGAUGAUGAUGAUGAUGAUGAUGAUGAUGAUGGUGGUGGUGGUGGUGGUGGUGGUGAUGAUGAAGCAGCAGUGGGCGGUUGAGAUUACGUCAGAAAAGUACAUGGUAUUAUUUCCAACAUUUGACAAUACGAUUUGCUCUUCUGCACUUGUUGGUGGGCAUUUAUAUUCCAAACGAAUACUAAAUUUCAUAAAACAAUCCUGAUUCAACAUCUUCUAAGUGCCCUCCUCUGGAGUUUUCACCCAGAUAAUGGUCAGAGCUCAAAAUAUACUUCUCACUCCUAAUGAACUGUUGCUUUUUUACCCUUCGAGUCCACAAUCACAACAAGAAACUUAUUACACUUGUUUCAAAUGCUUAUUCAGGCUUCAUGCUUAGUCAGCAUCACUCUACUGUAUUCUGGGAUUUAUUUUAUGUAAUUAGAUUACAUUUACCUCUGUUGUCGUUGUACACACAAGACUCUUCAAUGCACUUUAGCAUCUAAACAUGAGUGCAAAGAAACAGGGCAAAAAAAAUGCCAAAAUGUAACAGUUUUCAGGCUACGAAGAAGUGUAAUAUAUGAACAGUAUGUCAUUUACUGUAAAGGUCUAUUUUCUUUUAAUUUUUACAUUAAAAGGUGAUAUUUGCUUUGUGAAAAGAGCAUAAUUGAAUGUAAUGCAUCAUCUUUAGCUAAAAGUGCCUUUUUUAUGUUUGACAGACAUAUUGUGAAGGACAAUAAUCCAUCGUACAAAAGACGUAAAACAUUAAGGGCAUUUUUAAUGUCUGAAUAAUGAAUUUUAAAUGCAUUUAUGAUGCUUUGACAACUCUUUGAUACACUGACUACACAAAAGCAGCUGGUAAUUAUCAACCCUCCAGACUGUAAGUUACCAUGCUUUGAUGAAACAUUUUAUCAUUUAUACCUCAUUCCCAUUUUUCCGGAUUGCUCAAUAAAACCCCCACUCUCUUGACUGAC